rnacentral:rRNA from 1 species
AGCUCCAAUAGCGUAUAUUAAAGUUGUUGCAGUUAAAACGCCCGUAGUUGAAUUUCAAGAGCCUUUUUGUAGUCUGCUACUUGGCCUUUUCGGCGAGUAUGUCUGGGCUACGGGUUCUUUAUUUUGUUUGGUGCCCAAUGCUUCUUGUUCUGCAAGCGGUGUUGGUUUUGUGCCAAGCACUUUUACUUUGAAAAAAUUAGAGUGUUCAAAGCAGGCUGUUUACAGCUUGAAUAUCUUAGCAUGGAAUAAUAGAAUAGGACUUUAGUUCUAUUUUGUUGGUUUCUAGGACUAGAGUAAUGAUUAAUAGGGAUAGUUGGGGGCAUUAGUAUUUGAUUGUCAGAGGUGAAAUUCUUAGAUUUAGCAAAGACUGACUUCUGCGAAGGCAUUUGCCAAGGAUGUUUUCA